AUUGAACGCUGGCGGCAGGCCUAACACAUGCAAGUCGAGCGGAUGAAGGGAGCUUGCUCCUGGAUUCAGCGGCGGACGGGUGAGUAAUGCCUAGGAAUCUGCCUGGUAGUGGGGGAUAACGUCCGGAAACGGGCGCUAAUACCGCAUACGUCCUGAGGGAGAAAGUGGGGGAUCUUCGGACCUCACGCUAUCAGAUGAGCCUAGGUCGGAUUAGCUAGUUGGUGGGUUAAAGGCCUACCAAGGCGACGAUCCGUAACUGGUCUGAGAGGAGGAUCAGUCACACUGGAACUGAGACACGGACCAGACUACUACGGGAGGCAGCAGUGGGGAAUAUUGGACAAUGGGCGAAAGCCUGAUCCAGCCAUGCCGCGUGUGUGAAGAAGGUCUUCGGAUUGUAAAGCACUUUAAGUUGGGAGAAAGGGCAGUAAGUUAAUACCUUGCUGUUUUGACGUUACCAGCAGAAUAAGCACCGGCUAACUUCGUG
rnacentral:rRNA from 1 species